ensembl:lncRNA
CUGUUCCUAGCUCGAAACUCAGGACCCAGGACAGUGUAAGUGGAUGCACAGUCAUCGCUUGAGGAAGGCCUGUCGAUUGACUUACAGCCUGAAAGAAUAAAGGCCCUGUUGUCGGAAGGAACUGGCACCACACGUCCCAAGCCAGGUGCUCAUCUUGCAAACCCGGUGGAAGUCCCCCCAGGAGCACAGAGACAGGGAUUCCUCAAUGGCCAGUCGGCAGUAGACACCACCCAGAGCGCACUUUGCAGAGUGCUUCCUUCUGGUACAUCCGGGAUGGACUUCCAGAGGCCUUGGUACUUGAAGGGGCUGACGCUGGGAAAUCUCUUUCUGCCCUUUCUCACUGGAUAAGGUACAGGCUGGGUGAGAGCUACGUGGAUCAGAAUCCGCACAACUCGGCUGGUGGCCACGUGAGGCCCAGGAGAUGAAGUCAACAACAGUGUGGCUUCCAGGAGUGAUGCUGGUGAACACGUAGCAAAAGGCAGUAGACUGAAUCAAUCCAAUCCAGGGACUUGCCUUCCUCUGCCAGUAGUGAUAAUUAACACACUGAGUUCUUCUUGGGUGCUGGACGCUGUUCUGCUAAGCAUUUUUCUAAUGUAUCUCUUGUAUGUUCUGAACACGCAUUAUCUCAUUUCAUAACAUUAUUCCUGAUUUUACAGAUAAGGAAUCUGAGCCACUAAGAGAUGACAUCACUUGGCCAAGGUCACAGAGCUUCUGGGGCCAGCUCUCUGUUUUGCCUUUGUGAAGAACAGGGAACAUGCCUUGCACUUCUCUGAAGGAAAAACAAGCUGAUGUCAGGGAUUCUUUCAAGAAAGCGAAAUUUCAGGGCCAUUGCUGAGAUCACCACCCAUUCAGCAAAUGUCCCAAACGCUGAAUGCUCUUCUGUGUCAAAGCACUUGGCAUAACUGCUGUUCCCCAUAAUGACCUGCAACCACCCAGGAAAGGUUAUGUUCUCCAACUCUGUUUAAUAAGGUGGGGGAGCAAGUAACAAGCUUUGAAAAGGUUUCCAUCAAACCCAAAUGACCAAAGUUAAACACUUAAAGGAAUUAACCCCGCUCUUUGAAAAGC